CAACCCACGGCAACGAAUUUAAUUCUCUGCCAGGGUGGAUCUAGUUACCCUCCAUAAGGCUCGCUGUGAGUGGAUGUUCAGACAGAUGGACGUCAUGCAGAGGUAGAAUUCACCACUGACUGGCAGAAAGACGCUGAGUGGAGAGACCUCACCAUCAACUCCAUGUUUCUAGGUCUUGAUGGCACAUUAUAUGACUAUUUUAAGGGAUAUGAGGACCUGCAGAACCGGAAAGUGCGGUUUGUUGGGAGUGCAGAACAAAGGAUUCAAGAAGACUACCUGAGAAUUCCAGUCCUAAAACUGGCUGGACCAAUCACCAUGAAGUGUAGAGUCAGAAGGCGGCCGUAACUAAGUGACGACAGAGGAGCGACGAUUCUGUCAGAAACAACCGGAAACAACUAGCCUAGCCGUGCUAGACAACCCACGGCAACGAAUUUAAUUCUCUGCCAGGGUCGACAACAAAAACGACAACAGUCGUCGAGCUCCAUUAGCACCGACUCUGAAUAAUCUUUCUGUUAACAUGUCUGUAAUAUACUUGAGCUUCACCCAUUGACUGUAUAAAUAAGGCUUCACCGAACUCCCGCAUCCUCUGAUUUCCGGCGCUCUAGGAGCCUAUUCGUUGCGCUGAUUAGUUGUAUACCUACCCAAUUGCUGCAGAGUGAUUUGAUAGACAACCUUUUAGCCCGCCUCCCUCCCUGUCGAGCGUGCCUAGACCCUUGCGUCUUCAGAGCAUGGGUCUAGCGUGGCUAGGCUAGAGUCAUUUACUAUAUUAAAGCAGCUGAAUCAACCCCUCAUAGGAUAAUGAUUGUUCAAGCUGUUUACAUGUGUAUCAGUCCUCAUAGACCAGAGUGAAACAUAAAAGAAAAAUUGGAAAAAUAUUUAAAUACAAAUUAUGACUUGCAUAACAUGCUUUUAUGGAAAAAAAAACAUGACUUCUAAAAAAUUACAGAACACAAUUUUUAAGUUAAGAAUAUUGAAUUUAAAAACUGUGAGGUAAAAUUAAGAUACUAAGUCUAAAUUAGUCAAAUUUUAAUUUACUGUUUAAUGAUCUUAACUUGGAAGGUCAAAAACAAUGAAGCAAAAAAAGUACAUUGAUCUUUUUUUCUGAAUCAAUAACUUGGAAUAAACUCAAAAACACAAAUGUUGGUUUAGUGUACCACAUUUUAAUUUAAAAUCGGCAGAGGCUGUCGUUUCAUCUCAACUUUAAUCUAGUAAAGUGAUAUAGUACAAACUGUCUUUGGUGGUGCUUUUUUCAAAGGCUGAUUUUCAUUUUGAGCGCAUUUCUGAUUUGGUCUGCAACUGCUAAGUGGUUAUUAAGCAACGAAAGUUCUUGAAACCAAAACCUCAGUUUAGUUUCUGCUUUAGAGUCACAGCUGAAAGUGGUCAAUGCACAGGAUAAUGUCAUGCCUGAUGAGUCAUUUACUAAAUAAAAGUAGCUGAAUCAUCCCCUCAUAGGAUAAUGAUUGGUCAAGUUGUUUACGUGUAUCAGUUCUCAGAGACCAGAGUGAAACUAAAGUCUGAAAUUAAAGUCCUCUCCCUGUUUUUAUUUCUUUUGCCCUGCUGCUUCCGACUGUAGAAUGAGCAUUUAAUCCAGAACAAACAAAAUGGUUUUUAUCUGCACUGAGUGAGUCAUUAAAUGGCAAUUUAAUUAUGAUGCUUGCCAACCUAGGUGACAGUGGGACUUUUUUCUGACCUACAACAGCACACCGGUAUCGACAUGACCAAUGAUUUUUAUACUGAAGUAUCUGCGUAAAUGAAUGCAUCACAAGACAGCCCAACAAUGUCUGCUGAGGGCAGGGUAAAUACACCCUGCUGUCCCUCACCUCCAUUCUCAUUCCAUGCAUUUUAUAUGGUGUGGUCAUUGUGAAGAUGCUGCCCGACCUGCUUUUGUGCAAAUAAUUAAUUCUCAUAUACACACUGCUGCUGUUGUGUGAUGUGGCAAACCAGCUCCUUCGAGUCGUCACCAACCUGUUUGCGUUUUAAUCCGUUUGACUGUAGCUGAAUAAUCUCACCAGCUUAAAAACUAGUAUGUAAACAAAGCAAUUUGUUACCCGAAGAUGACCCAUGUGGAAGGAAUGAUCAUCCAUCAAAAGUGUAUAAAGUUCAGUAUCUUUAACGUCAUUCUGUCUGUCGGUCCCCUUAUAAAAACUGUGACACUCGAAGGUUGUGUUAGUUUGCAGAUCGAGGAAGACUCAACAAGAGCGAGCAGCUUUCGUUUCACAGCUCAACUAUAGAAAAACCAUCCAGACAUUUUAUGCAACAGCCAUUUAAAAUGCUUCUGAUCUUUCUGAUUCAGCUGUUGCUAAUCGCAUCAGCAAAUGCCCAAACAACAACUGUUGCAACCACCACUACUGCUGCCACCACAACCGCUUCUGGUGCCACUACGACUACUGCUGCCACCACAACCGCUUCUGGUGCCACUACGACUACUGCUGCCACCACAACCGCUUCUGGUGCCACUACGACUACUGCUGCCACCACAACUGCUUCUGGCGCCACUACGACUACUGCUGCCACCACCGUUUCUGGUGCAAACAUAACGACAAACGCAACAACGACGACAAACAGCACAACUAGCGCCGCUGCCACCACACAUGCUGGGGUCAUGUACAUGGGCAGUCUGGCCUUGUGCCACCUCAGUGUUGUAGUCUUUAAGUACUUUUGAGCUGUGUGUCUCAUUUUAGAGAAUACCAUCAUUGUUUGUCAUGUAGAGGCACCACCUUUUAUCGUUCAUGUUUAAAUAUGUAACCAAAUAAUCCCGUCAUGAAGCACAUGUGUUGAUAGGUUUCAAGAUCUAGAUGAUACAAAGUGUAAAACUGUGCUAAUAAAAGUUUGGAAAACCUCAAA